rnacentral:tRNA from 1 species
GCCCGCCUAGCUCAAUCGGAUAGAGCGUCAGACUCUUAUAUUGGCGGGAUCUGAAGGCUGCGAGUUCGACCCUCGCGGUGGGCU